UGGCCAUCCAGAGCAACCGAGAGACCUGGCUCGACGACAUUGCAGCAACCCCCUUCAUGGUGCGGGUGCUUCCGCCAGGAACGAUGGAGG
rfam:Actinomyces sp. oral taxon 175 str. F0384 Contig63, whole genome shotgun sequence.